ACGGGCGGAGUGUACAAGGCCCGGGAACGUAUUCACCGCGGCAUGCUGAUCCGCGAUUACUAGCAACUCCGACUUCAUGUGGGCGGGUUGCAGCCCACAAUCCGAACUGGGACCACUUUUUUGAGAUCCGCUCCCCCUUGCGGGUUUGCCCCUCUUUGUAGUGGCCAUUGUAGCACGUGUGUAGCCCAGGUCAUAAGGGGCAUGAUGAUUUGACGUCGUCCCCACCUUCCUCCGAGUUGUCCCCGGCAGUCUCAUUANAGUCCUCGCCUUUACGCGUUAAGUAACUAAUCAUAAGGGUUGCGCUCGUUGCGGGACUUAACCCAACAUCUCACGACACGAGCUGACGACAACCAUGCACCACCUGUCUCAGUACCCCCGAAGGGACACCUAAUCUCUUAAGCUUUUUACUGGGAUGUUCAAGACCUUGGUAA
rnacentral:rRNA from 1 species